rnacentral:rRNA from 1 species
AGCCGCGGUUAUACGAGAGGCUCAAGUUGACAGACAGCGGCGUAAAGGGUGGUUAGAAGAACUUCACACUAGAGCCGAACGCCUCCAGCGCUGUCUAAAGCACCCGGAGGUAAGAAGUGCCCCUACGAAAGUAGCUCUAAGAACAUUUUAACCCACGAGAGCUAGGGCA